ensembl:lncRNA
GCUAGAGCUUGAGGACACAACUCUGAAGACUGUUUCUGAAUUCACUGACCUGGUGAGUAAAUGUUGUGUACAAUGGCACCAUCUAGUGACAGAAACAUAGAAACACACAUUGUUGCUGAACGAAGGCAUCUCUUUAUUUUCCAGAAAUAAAACUUGUAGACCUUUCCUGCAGUCUCUGAGGAGAUGGACACCUCUUCUUCUUCUGGACGAUCUCCGUCUCCUACUGGGACUGUCUUCUUACCCCCUCCUAUCAUGUGGAACAGUCUCUACAAGCAGGCAGAGAUGGAGGUUCACUUCCCGAGAGAAGAGAAGAAGACCUAUACAGAGAAGGAAGCCCACAUGCUUGAGUUGAGGGGGAAGAAUCGAACAAUCCGAAAUCAGAAGAAGGAGAUGGACAGACUCCAAGUGUGCCUCUGGGAGGAGGAAAAGAAGAAGAGGAAUGGUGGAACGGAGAAGGACAAGAUCAUUGAACAAUUACAGUUUGAGACAGACCAUCUCCGAGCCCUUUUAAAAGAUGAAAGGAGGAGAAGAAGAGUAGAAAGGGGUAUCAUGGAAGAGUGGAAGGCUGAGAUCCUGAGACUGAGGGAGGCAGAGAGCCAGAGGGAGGCAGAGAGCCAGAGGGAGGCAGAGAGUCAGAGGGAGGCAGAGAGCCAGAGAGAUGCAGAAAGACAGAGAGAAACAGAGAGACAGAGAGAAGCAGAGAGACAGAGAGAAGCAGAGAGACAGAGAGAAGCAGAGAGACAGAGGGAGGCAGAGAGAGAGAGGGAAGCAGCGAGACAGAGGGAAGCAGAGAGAGCCACAGAAGCAAUGGAGCACCAGAGAAAACUGCAGGAGAUCCACAGACUCAAACAACUGCUGGAUCUACUGAUGGUGGACCUACAACUGGCCCACGUAAGACAUGUCAUUGUUAUUAUUAAAAGGCAGUGUAUAUUUACCCAGCUGAAAAUGAAUAGUGGCAGACAGCGGUACGCUAACCCAAUGUUAACUUUUAUUCCUUUCCUUAACCCUUACCUUAACCUCACUGAAACUAUACCUAACCUUUACCUUAACCCAACCCUAGGUCCUGAACCUAACCUUCAUUUAUCUCAACCCCUAUGCCUUUCUUCUGCCGGUUGAAUAUCCACUUCCUUAUUAACGUCAUUACUGUUGUUGUUGUUGAUAACUGUAUCUGUGAAGGUUGUAAACAGUUGCAUUAGUGAAGCAUCAUUUGUAGAAGUAAUUUCUACAAGCAUAAACAUCAGAGGCAACAUUGUUGUAACAUCACACAAAUUGUAACAGGAAUUUCUCAAACCCCUAACUGAAUGAGCAAGAAGGUUGUGUGUUUGUAUUUGAACACAUUUUGGACAUAAUUGAUUCCAUAAAAUGUCUCAUAAUUUUUUCAAACCAUGAUAAUACAUUAAUUGACAAUGAAUUGUCCAGAUGAAUUGAUCAAAAUGACCCUGCUAUUGAUGUUGUCCAGUGUUUGAUUCAAUUACCUAGCUCUAGGUUAUAUUUCUGUGUAUCGUUCUCUGCAAAUCUUUUGAAAGUAUGUCUUGGUAAUAGAUUAU